AAAUUACUCUCUGUGUCCCCGGGGAGGGCAAGGGUGCAGUCUCUGCUGCCAUGGAAGCUUGGGCAAUGCAGCAAGUGCCUGACCUCCUGGCAUUUCAGCAGCCCUUGCAGCAGCAGUGUGGGACCUGGGCACCGGGGCAAGGCAGUCCCAGACAGCGCUUCAAAACCUGAUAUAUCACCCCAAAGCCCCAGCACCUGCUUCAAAUCUGGCACCCUUUUUGGAGUGGAGUGCAGCUGGGGACAUGGGACAUACUCCUUUUGCUCCCUCUCCCUGUCCUUUUGCAGCCCUGAGAAUACUGAGCAUAUGAAAAUGCUGGCUGCCCACUGAACUUGCAGGUUUACUGGCGGCAACAGAGUCUAAAUAUCACUGUGCUUUGUUAACUAUCUCUGCACAUCAUGAGGAUGCCUGGAACCCUUCCCUCUCUCAGGUGUAAGCCUGUCCCUGUUUGUAUCUAUCUGUGGUAUCACUCAACAUCCCCUUGCUAUUCCCUGUAAUUGAGAUAAGAAAGAGUGGAGAGUAUUCUCCAUGUUUUGCCACUGACUACAAACAGCUAUUCCUAAUUAUGUGUUAAUGAUUUCCUAAUAAAGAGCAAGGCUCUCAAGGCUUUGCAUCACCAGGUCCUCAGUGCUGUCUCUCUGAGUAUCACCCAAAUUCACCUUCUGCUGUAGCUCUGGCUGCCUACCUUGUGCCAACAGCAAGCUGAUGCAACAGGGAACACAUGCCUACUUAACGACUGCCUUCUAAAGGAGAGUGAUCCGAGACGCAUGGCAUCAUUAAAUUGGGAAUGAUGCCGGACAUGUGCAACAACCACACAAGUGAAAGACUCAGCUCUAUUAACAUGUGAAAAAUCAGCAAGAAGAACCGCACCAAACUCUUCUGUUUUCUGCAUCACAAAAUACCGUGAAUUAGGUUUAAUAAAUCAUUUCCAGCAUACAGGACUCACAUUGGAAUGAAUUGUUUAUGAGAUACUCUGUGAUCUUAAGCAGUCCACAGAUUUUGAGCAAAAGCAGACCAAUUUCCUCUGAAAAAAAUGCUAGCUUCUAGUGUAUGACAUUGGAUGAAUUGUUAUAUAUACUUUGGAAAGGAUGGCGACUGUAAAUCUCACUUUGGACACUUCAUGAAAUAUUUGCAGCAUAUUUUAAACUAGCUUAGUGGUGCCAGUUCUUCUCUAGCGCUCACCACCUACCUUGUGCUUUCGUGAGGCACUUUGAGUACAAUGGAGAAAACCUUGGGUGGGCUGGCCAGCCACAGUACCUGCCAGGCUGCAUCCAGCUGGAGACACACCUUUGCCCAGGAGCCUCUCUUCUGCAGCUGAAAAACUGAAGGAACUCAACAGGACUUUCCAGUUUUACCCUCUGUUAAUUCCCCCCCACAAAUCAAGGGGAUUUACAGCACUUUUACAUGUUUGACCUGAUCAGUCUCUGAAACUGGGUUUGGAGUAGCUAGUCAUAUGGAAAACAGCUAGGAGAUGCCAAGCUUAGCCAUGGCAGCUCUAAAGAGCACCAUGUCCUGAGCAAAGUGAUCAGGUCAAGUAGAAGGUGCUAUCUAUCCCCUUUUGUGUUUUAUUUUUUGUACAGCACAGCCACGUAGUUCUGGCUGAGGUUGAUGCUGCCUGCAGGUCCCAGCAUGCCGACAAGUUGGUGGGACCAACAUGCAUGAGUAGUCCCACCUUUUGCGUGCCCUUACCAGCACUGCCUUUCCGUUUGUGCACAGUCCUCUGCAUGUUUUGUCUAAAGGAGUCUUUUUCUACCCUUCUUCAGACGCAUCACAUAAUAGGGUGUUUAUGGAGCUUGCUUGGCCCUGCACUAUCAUAUUGACCCCUUUAACUGAAUGUCACAUCCAGAUGAGAAAGAUGAAACAGGAGACAAGCAAGGCUGCUCUGUCUCUCUGAGGAGCUGGCUUGGUACCCUGAGAAACAAAAACAAGGGUGCACUCCCACAUCACAGCGUGAGGCUUCGGGCACCUCCAGCCCCCUGGCUGAGGUGAGCUGGUUACAGAGGGCAGAUGCCCUUCCAAAGGGUAGCCAUGCUUCAUCUGUAACAUCUGUAUCUGAAAAACCUGUUCAUGCAACCAUUGGGAAAAAAAAAAAAAAAAAGCUAAAUCAAACCCUGCAUGGAUAAUCCUCUCUCCCUAAAACGGGGGAGACAAUCAAAGUGAAAUGUGAAAGCAUUCAAAACAUGAAAUGCGUUUACAUCUAGUUGCAAAGGAAAACCGCCAUGGCAACAUACCCUCAGGUGGCCAGUGGUUUGCUUCAGAAGGAUCUUCUCAGGCUCAUAGAGGGCUGAGAAAUGCUGCACAGUGACUGUCCUUCCUCCCUCAUGUGCUUCAUGUGUCUGUGCUGCAGCUGGCCAACACUGAACUCUGUGGCACACAGAAAGGAUUUUGCAAGAAGAUGUCUAUCUUAAAGAAAUAGACUUUGUUUUCCUGUAGUAUUCCAAAAGAUCCUCACCUUUUUCCAGCGGCCACUUACAGAAUGGGGAGGGGAAAUGGAGAAGCAGCAGAAUUGUUUCCCUGCUUUCUCCACAAGAAAAAAGGCAGGACUAAAGGAAGCAGGUUUCUCCCAGUCUUUUAAAACUCUUGUUCCUCUUCUCAGGCACCAUGAGUUUUGGGGCACCUGUUUUCUCUCCCUCCCAUAAUAAACCCUGGAAUUCUUAAAAGGUCGCAUUUUAAAAAAGAUUUGUCAGUCCCACAAAAUUUCCAUGGAAAGGCUUUCAAAAUCAGCAAAAACGUAUUGUCUCUUCUUUCUUCUGGAUCUUACUUGGAUUUCUGCAUCUUGAUCUUAUUUGGGCUAAGUAUAAAAGAAGGUAUAAAGGGGGGCUAAUAAGACUUCAGGAUUUGUAGCUGAAUGAGCAGUGUGUAGGUGGGAGACACUGCCAAGAGAGCUUGAUUUUCAAAGGGAUUGCAAAGGGCUGGUGAUCCUGGGGGCGGAGGCCUGUGCUGCAGAUGAGGUUACUUACAUGUGGGGCAUAGGUAAAGGAGGCACAAUCCAGAUACAAAUGACCAAGCUUUACAGGUUUUGAUGUGGAUAAGGAUGUUUCUGCCAUUCUCUCUCAAUGGCUUUUGGAAUUGUGUGAAAGAAUCUGACUUGAAAAAUUAAAUAAUGUUCAAUCAUUAAAAAAUAAAACGAAAACCCGCCUUUUUUUUUU